AAAUUGAAGAGUUUGAUCAUGGCUCAGAUUGAACGCUGGCGGCAGGCCUAACACAUGCAAGUCGAACGGUAACAGGAAGCAGCUUGCUGCUUCGCUGACGAGUGGCGGACGGGUGAGUAAUGUCUGGGAAACUGCCUGAUGGAGGGGGAUAACUACUG
rnacentral:rRNA from 6 species